GAGGACCAUGGCAACCCAGUUACUGUUUUCUUUCCUUUUUAAAAUUUAACCAUUGAACUAGCCCCUGCCCACACCUGCCUCUGUUUUCUAGUCAACUUUCUGCUGUGUGUAGCACGGAGAGUCUUUACUGGGUAGCUUUUGUUGAUGGCAGGCACAAUUCACAAUUCUGUCUUCUCACCCUUUUAUUGAAAUGGCAAAAUCCAAGCACAAAUACUGUUGUUAAGAGGGCUGAGAAGGCUACAGGAGACCAGAGUCACUGACCUUUAUUUUGAAAAUCAAGACCUCUUUUAAAGUUCCUGGAAGGAACUUAAGGAUGCUGUCGUUCAUGAGGGCACCGCAGAGUCCGGUGCAUGCAUGAAUGAAUGCACGAACACAUCAGUGCAUGCAGUCUACUGGCCCCAGCGAGGUCACCAUCUCAUCUCAGAUACUCAGAAACAAAACAGGGAAGGUCAAGGGAGCAAAUGCUACCUACAGGAGACUCAAGCACAUGAUGUGGACAAGGACACAGUGGGGAGAGUCAAUCCAUAUCAACAGAAAGAAGCUAGAAGGCAGUGAUCCUGAAUCGGUUGUGACACACCAACUGCUACAGUGCAAACAAGCGUGCUUCCCUGGGAGACACGGCACACGGCAAGUGAGGUCUCUGUGCCCGUGGCUCCUGAUGAGGGGGCUUAGUUCCUCAUGGAGUCAGUGCUUUAAUAAAUAGCACUGGAUGUGGCUGCUAAUGGUUUGUGGCCUUCCUGUCUUGGGGCAUUUGCUGAGCUGUCCGGUGAAGGCAAAGACAGACAAGGUCCUUCAUUCUCCUGCCUCUUCC